GCUACACAUGCAGUCGAGCGGUAACAGAAGUAGCUUGCUACUUUGCUGACGAGCGGCGGACGGGUGAGUAAUGCUUGGGAACAUGCCUUGAGGUGGGGGACAACAGUUGGAAACGACUGCUAAUACCGCAUAAUGUCUACGGACCAAAGGGGGCUUCGGCUCUCGCCUUUAGAUUGGCCCAAGUGGGAUUAGCUAGUUGGUGAGGUAAUGGCUCACCAAGGCGACGAUCCCUAGCUGGUUUGAGAGGAUGAUCAGCCACACUGGGACUGAGACACGGCCCAGACUCCUACGGGAGGCAGCAGUGGGGAAUAUUGCACAAUGGGCGCAAGCCUGAUGCAGCCAUGCCGCGUGUGUGAAGAAGGCCUUCGGGUUGUAAAGCACUUUCAGUCAGGAGGAAAGGUUAGNAGUUAAUACCUGCUAGCUGUGACGUUACUGACAGAAGAAGCACCGGCUAACUCCGUGCCAGCAGCCGCGGUAAUANGGAGGGUGCGAGCGUUAAUCG
rnacentral:rRNA from 1 species